rnacentral:rRNA from 1 species
UUCGCCUUCCUUUUUUUUCCCUCCUCUCCGCUCUUCCCGAGUAGUUCUAGUUCGUUUUACUUUGAGUAAAUUAGAGUGUUACAAAGCAGGACAAAAAUCUUUUCAGCCGUUGAACAUCAUUAGCAGUGGAUAAUGGAAUAGGACGUUCGUUUCUUAUUUUGUUGGUUUCCGGAAACGAAGUAAUGAUCAAUAGGGAUAGUUGGGGCAUCAGUAUUUAAUUGUCAGAGGUGAAAUUCUUGGAUUUAUGAAAGACUAACUUCUGCGAAAGCAUUUGCCAAGGAUGUUUUCAUUGAUCAAGAACGAAAGUUAGGGGAUCGAAGACGAUCAGAUACCGUCGUAGUCUUAACCAUAAACUAUGCCGACCAAGGAUCGGGAGACGUUUCGACGUUUAGGACUCCCCCAGCACUUUACGAGAAAUCACAAGUUUUUGGGUUCCGGGGGGAGUAUGGUCGCAAGGCUGAAACUUAAAGGAAUUGACGGAAGGGC